UAGGGAAUCUUCCGCAAUGGACGCAAGUCUGACGGAGCAACGCCGCGUGAGUGAAGAAGGAUUUCGGUUCGUAAAACUCUGUUGUUAGAGAAGAACAGCGCAUAGAGUAACUGUUAUGCGUGUGACGGUAUCUAACCAGAAAGCCACGGCUAACUACGUGCCAGCAGCCGCGGUAAUACGUAGGUGGCAAGCGUUGUCCGGAUUUAUUGGGCGUAAAGCGAGCGCAGGCGGUCAAUUAAGUCUGAUGUGAAAGCCCCCGGCUCAACCGGGGAGGGUCAUUGGAAACUGGUUGACUUGAGUGCAGAAGAGGAGAGUGGAAUUCCAUGUGUAGCGGUGAAAUGCGUAGAUAUAUGGAGGAACACCAGUGGCGAAGGCGACUCUCUGGUCUGUAACUGACGCUGAGGCUCGAAAGCGUGGGUAGCACACAGG
rnacentral:rRNA from 1 species